GUACUCUCACACUCUCCGAUCCUUUGGAUUUGGGGAGCGGUGGACUUGGGUGCUUGCUACUUUCCUGGUGGCUCACCUCAAAUGCAUCAGUGCAUCUCUUGAUUGGACAUAGUACGGCGUGAUAAGUGUCUUCGCCGGCGCCUCAUUCGAGGGUGGCCGAUUGGGAGCUCUGUGCUUUCAAACCGUCUUCGGACACUGUCUGACA
rnacentral:misc_RNA from 1 species